GCAAUGGGGGGAACCCUGACCGAGCAACGCCGCGUGAGUGAAGAAGGUUUUCGGAUCGUAAAGCUCUGUUGUUAAGGAAGAACGAGUGUGAGAAUGGAAAGUUCAUACUGUGACGGUACUUAACCAGAAAGGGACGGCUAACUACGUGCCAGCAGCCGCGGUAAUACGUAGGUCCCGAGCGUUGUCCGGAUUUAUUGGGCGUAAAGCGAGCGCAGGCGGUUAGAAAAGUCUGAAGUGAAAGGCAGUGGCUCAACCAUUGUAGGCUUUGGAAACUGUUUAACUUGAGUGCAGAAGGGGAGAGUGGAGUUCCAUGUGUAGCGGUGAAAUGCGUAGAUAUAUGGAGGAACACCGGUGGCGAAAGCGGCUCUCUGGUCUGUAACUGACGCUGAGGCUCGAAAGCGUGGGGAGCGAACAGGAUUAGAUACCCUGGUAGUCCACGCCGUAAACGAUGAGUGCUAGGUGUUAGGUCCUUUCCGGGACUUAGUGCCGCAGCUAACGCAUUAAGCACUCCGCCUGGGGAGUACGACCGCAAGGUUGAAACUCAAAGGAAUUGACGGGGGCCCGCACAAGCGGUGGAGCAUGUGGUUUAAUUCGAAGCAACGCGAAGAACCUUACCAGGUCUUGACAUCCCGAUGCUAUUUCUAGAGAUAGGAAGUUUCUUCGGAACAUCGGUGACAGGUGGUGCAUGG
rnacentral:rRNA from 1 species